AUCUACGGCCAUACUAUUUUGAAAACACCGGUUCUCGUCCGAUCGCCGAAGUUAAGCAACGUCGGGCCCGGUUAGUACUUGGAUGGGUGACCGCCUGGGAAUACCGGGUGCGGUAGAUC
rnacentral:rRNA from 1 species